AUAUGUGUGUGUGUGUGUGUGUGUGUGUGUGGCGAGGGGGCGAGGCCAGGGACUGGUCAGGGACGAGAGGGAGACAUCAUGGGAAGGCAUGGUCAGGAGUCCUCGGUGCCUGAGUCGUCGUCAUCAUAACAACAGUCCUCGUUGUCGUCCUCGUCGUCUUCCUCCAGUUCCUCGUCGUCGUAGUAGUCAUCGUACAAGAGGUUGGAGCCGUCGUCUGUGGGCGGGACUUGGGUGCGGACACAGUACUCGUCCAACGUGACGGGAACCUUGACGCCGUCCCGCUCCGCUUCAGCUUUUGUAGCCACCACCUGCUUCCUGUGAGGAGGAAAGACAGAAGAGAAAAACAAAACAAAAAAAGCAGAUGAGGACACACAGAGCUUCAGUGCUGCUGCUCUGUGUACCUGCUACGCUGACGAGCUCCCAUUUGAAGUGUGAAAGGUGCUGUGUGUGCGCGCUGCUGUUUUUCCUCUUGGUACCUGAUGAUCUCGAUGUAUUCUCUGUCCUUGCCCUUGCUGUCCCUCCACUUUCGGUACAUGACGGACGCGUCCACGUUGGCCGGGGAGAAAGUGUUGGGCUCGUUCAGCAAAGAGAUCACACUGAGCAGGAUGGUCCUGAGA